rnacentral:rRNA from 1 species
UACGGGGGGGGCAAGCGUUGUUCGGAAUUACUGGGCGUAAAGGGCCCGUAGGCGGCCAACUAAGUCCGACGUGAAAUCCCAAGGCUUAACCUUGGAACUGCGUCGGAUACUGGAUGGCUUGAAUUCGGGAGAGGGAUGCAGAAUUCCAGGUGUAGCGGUGAAAUGCGUAGAUAUCUGGAGGAGUACCGGUGGCGAAGGCGGCAUCCUGGACCGACAUUGACGCUGAACGGCGAAAGCUAGGGGAGCAAACGGG